rnacentral:lncRNA from 1 species
AAAAAAUGAAUUCCAACCAGAUACAAACCAAAUACAGCUCUUACGAGAGUAUUACAAGCAACCAGCAAAAUACAGUGGAUUAAACAAGCUCAGAACCAUGUAAUUCAGGAGAAAUGAAACUAAAUUAUAAAUCUGAACAAGUUGAGGCCAUGAUUAAAACUCCAUAUUUUAUUUCACACUUCAAGUCAAGCCUCACAUGCGGUAUAAUUCAGAAACAUGUACCUAGAAUUCAAAAGAGAACCAAUAGGAAUGAGGGAUCAGCAAAAACAGCAGCAUAAUCAGCCUAAAACAGCAGUAGAACAAUACCCCAAAUCAGAGUAGCUCAAACCAAACUUUUAAACCCCAAAAAUCAAAUCAUUUUUCAUCCAGGUGCAGGAAUUUGAAGUUUUCAGAAGUUCCAGCCAAUAGAGAGGAUCAGAAAAUCAAAGCUAAACAGAAUUUUUGAGUUGUCUUUUCCAAAUGAAACAUGAGAUUUCAAUGUUAAUUCAGAUUUUGCUCAAAACUUAACCGUUUUAGUAUUUUUUUCAGGAUUUUUCCUUCUCUAAAAUCUCUCUUAAAUCUGAAGUCUGAUUUGAGGGCCAGCUUUAGGUGCCUUUAUAGGCAAACCAUUAGGACAACAGAAAUAGGCUAAGUUUUUUACCUUCAAUCCUUUCUCAAUUUUCAUUUCUGCUACUUGGUCCCUG